UCAAUGAUAGUCACAGAUUAUGGAAUGGUAAGUGUUGAAAUUUUGAGAAGUUACACAUUUGGUGCUAAAACAUGGCUAAAGUGCAUUUUUUGAACCUGGAAACCUGUAGUUUGCAUUUUAUCUAGUUGGUCUUAGGAGAAUGAUUUUAGGAUCAAGCAAACCCGUAUUCGAGUAGGGUUGUUGUAGGUGGUGACAGAGGGUUUUUUGAUGGGAAGGGGAAUGAUGCUGGGAAGGUUGUGGCGUCUUCGUUUCCGAGAGGUGGAUUUGAUUUGACGGCUUUGAAGGGGAAUGGUGCUGUUGUUCCGGCGAGUGGGUUGACUACUGUUUCUGUUGUUAAUGAUUCGCUUGGGAUUGGGAUUCCUGGUGAGAGAUUCUUAUCUUUGUUGAUUUUGUUUUUGAUGGUAGUCUAUGGUUUGGUUUGUUUGAAUUUGAACUGGUUUUAGCUAUCAAGCACUGACACCGGAAACACAACACCGACACUGACUCAUCGAUGCUUGUAAUAAUUUGAAAAAACAGUAAAUUAAACUUAAUCACAAGGGUCGGUAUCGGUUUCGGAGUGUUCUGACACCUAUUUUUUCCCGAGGUGAUGGUGCAACAUUUGGAUUAUCAAUUGGUGAGAAUACUAAUUGAGGUGUGUUUGGAUAAACAAUUUAAUUGGGGGCUUCCUGCUUAAGCGCUUACCACAAUAAGUGCUUAUGCAUAGACUAUUUCAGUGGCAAAAGAUAAAAUAAAGUCAAAGUGUUUGCAUAUUUGGUAGAAGCUGUUUUCAUAAACUAUCUUGUAGUACUUGUCGAAAUAGAUGAAGACAACUUACGGACAUGUCAUAGAAGUUGUUUUUAUCAACUCUCUCGAAUAGUCUCACGCUUGCUUAUGCCAAUAGACAAAUUCAAAUAAAUCAAUUUAACCAGCCCUGAAAUUGAAUUUCAGCAAGUGUAGGGUGAAAUUAGGAAGUGGAAAAAUGCAGUUUAUGAAGUUUGAUUCAGCUUUUUGUAAAAUAUGAACUAGAAAGUGAAAGUAAAGAUUAAAAAUCAAUUUUUGGUUUGAUCUAGAAUUCUAGAUAGUGCAUAGAAUCAGGUUUUUGAAAAUGUAAACUAUUUUGUUUCAGAAAGGGUUUUGUUUGAAUAUAUACAAAAUAAUAUUUAGUUAUUAACUAGAGAUAGAACAUAAGUUCAAAGUUCUAUAUGUACUAGCGUGCAGUGUUCGUCUCUAUGCUUUUCUUUUGUGCUUAAGUAUAUAUGUAUUAGUUUAACAUAUUUUGUACUGUUGAGUGCUGAUUAGUUAAUUUUAAAUGUAGUUGAAACUUGAAAGUAAACUGGUAUUCCCUUUACAGAAGUUUAGAUAUAUGUGUGUUUGUCUUUUGCAUAAAGAGAAGGGUCUUUGUUUUUUAAUAUAUAAAAUUUAAACAUAUCUUUUGCCACACGUUAUAAUCUCCACUUGCUCUGUGUGUGUGUGUGUGUUGAUUUUAUCACCAUUUGCAAGUUUAAUUGUAUGAUGAUAAAGAAUUGGAAUCAGCUCGACUUGCUUGUUAUCAAUGUACACGAGGAUGUCUUUUAAAGAGAAAAAUUGAACUUUGUUGUCUGUGGUCUGUUUUUAUUUUCUUAUUGGCUUUGCUUUAGUUACAUUUUUAUUCUUCACCAUUAGAAAAAGAAAAAGCAAACAAAGGAGGAGGAUCAGCUGUGGAAAUGAAAGACCAAUCUACUAAUUCAAAACAGGAGAAACCAAAACCCACAAAAGCUGAAAGACGUGCACUUCAAGAAGCUUAACGAGCUGCAAAGGCUGCUGCAAAAGGUGUGUAUUAGUGUUCCCAUAUUUGAUUUGGAAAUGGUAGCGUGUCUGUCUGUGAUUCUGCAUUUGAGCUCUCUGACUUAAAGGGCUUCUACUGUGGGUAUACUGUCUGUGAUUAUAUGCUGAUCUUAAUAGUUUCUUGCUAUUGAUACCCAGUUCUUUGUCAGAACUACUUUUAAGUGUUCACAGACUCAAAUAUUGUGUUUUCUAUGAUUCUUACAAACAUAUAGUUUGGUAUAUACGAGCUGUUUCAUAGGUAACUUUUCUGCACAACUCAUUAUGAUGAUGCUAAUAAUUUAAAAUUUAAUAAAAUGUGUCUUUAGGCGAAGGAAAUAAGGCCUCUGCAACUGCUACAUCGGUGAAUGCAAAACCUGCUAAAGCAGUAAAGCCUGCACAGAAAGCUGAUAAUGCAUCAGUUGCAGCCACUGAGAAGAAGGGGAGUGAUUUCCCCCAUGAAAAGGAUAGAAAGAAAGAUGCCCCUCAACCACGCUUGCAGUAUGAUGACAAGAGCCGGGUGGAGAAAGCUAAACGUCGUUCUAUAGUGAAACACACUGAGGCUAGGAACAGAGUUGAGUUGUUCAGGCACUUACCACAAUAUGAACAUGGGAGUCAGCUUCCAGAUCUUGAGGCAAAGUUUUUCGAUUUUUAUCCUGUGCACCCUGCUGUUUAUAAGGUACUCUGUUAUCCUGUCAUUUGAUAUCAAUGCCACUAUAUACAUUUGUCUUUUGAUUUCUAUACCGCUGUUAUUUUUGGGUAUAUAAUAGUAGGGUUGAUAACUCAUUAUAAACAUUAGAUCGGAAAUUUAUAGCUACAUAAUCUGGGAGUCAAUAUUUUCUUAUCUUUAAAAAAAAAUUUAUACAUUCGUUUGAAAGUCAUUAUAAAUGAAAACUUGUGGAUUCAAUCUACUCAAUAUGAACUUUUAAUUUGACGGUUGGAUUGAUAAAUUAUAAUAUUUUAAUGAGUUAUAAGAAUAUAUUUAUGUAAUGUUUGUGGCUUUGAGCAUUGCAAUGCACAACAGCACCGCUAGCAGUAAUACUCUAAAGUGGUGUUUUAGAUUGCUCAUAGGUGACAUUGUAUGGUUCAUUGACAGUUAAAAAAUUAAACCCUCUGCACAAUAAUAGAGGCACAAUCUUGCCUAUCUGCUAUGUAUGAAGUUAUGUUGAAUGGCGUCCAAAUAUAAGCCUAUUGUAUUUAGCAUCCAAUUUUUCACGAAGACAUCCCAAUAUAAGCCAAAUUGUAGUUAAAACUUCAACUUUAUUCAUGAUGUUCUAGUGGAUAGGACAUUGAUUAGGAGUUAGGAGUUAGGAGUUAGGACCCAGUUCAAUACGUUAUGUGAACAAGAGCUUUUUAAAUAUGCUUUCUCAAAUCCUAAUGAUUUUCACUGUGGCUAUCAGGUGGGUUUGCAGUACAUAUCUGGAGAUAUAUCUGGUGGCAAUGAUUGUUGUAUUGCAAUGCUCCAAGCAUUUCAAGAGGCCAUCAAAGACUACAAGGUUCCACCUGAGAAGAGUCUCGGGAGAGAUUUGACAGCAAAAAUUGGUAGUUAUGUAUCAUUUCUUAUUGAGUGCCGGCCUCUGUCAAUCAGCAUGGGAAAUGCAAUUAGAUUUCUCAAGAGUCAGAUAGCCAAGCUACCUUUAACCUUGUCUGAGUCAGAAGCAAAAACUUCUCUCCAGUCAGAUAUUGAGCGUUUUAUAAAUGAGAAGAUCAUACUUGCCAACAAGGUGAUAGUCAAGCAUGCUGUCACCAAAAUAAGAGAUGGGGAUGUUCUUCUAACAUACGGGUCAUCAUUGGCAGUUGAAAUGAUUCUUUUGCAUGCACACGAAUUAGGAAAACAAUUUCGUGUUGUGAUAGUUGACUCUCGUCCAAAGCUUAGAGGCCAACGGUUACUCCGCAGGCUUGUGGAGAAAGGUCUUAACUGUACAUACACUCAUAUAAAUGCUGUUUCCUACAUUAUGCAUGAAGUUAGUCGAGUUUUUCUGGGUGCUGAAUCAAUAUUGUCUAAUGGAACGGUAUAUUCAAGAGUGGGGACUGCAAGUGUCGCAAUGGUUGCUCAUGCAUCCCGUGUACCAGUCAUAGUAUGUUGUGAGGCCUAUAAAUUUCAUGAAAGGGUACAGCUGGACUCGAUUUGCUCGAAUGAACUUGGUAUGUAUAUUUAUCUGUUAUAGAUGACAAGGCUUUUAUUUAUCAUAAACCAUUGGCUUUUUCCUCUAAGGCUGAUGUUUUUAUAAUGAUCUUACAGGUGAUCCAGAUGCCAUUUCAAGUGUUCAAGGUAGAGUGGAUGUCAACCACUUGGAUGGUUGGUCCGAUAUUGAAAAUCUGCAACUUCUAAAUCUGAUGUAAGUAUUUGUUGAUUGGAACACCACACCAAAUUGUUAUUUCGCCACUCUAACCUGCAAUUCUCUUUAAAUUGAUGACAGUUAUGAUGCAAUGCCUUCAGAUUACGUUUCAAUGAUAGUCACAGAUUAUGGAAUGGUAAGUGUUGAAAUUUUGAGAAGUUACACAUUUGGUGCUAAAACAUGGCUAAAGUGCAUUUUUUGAACCUGGAAACCCGUAGUUUGCAUUUUAUCUAGUUGGUCUUAGGAGAAUGAUUUUAGGAUCAAGCAAACAGUUUAAACUGCAGAAAACCUAAAAGAUUAAAAUAAAACAUGACAUAUAAUUAGAAAAGUACGAAGCGUUAUUUUUAUAAGUUCCACCCUUAAAACUUAUUUUCAAAAAGAAACUAUUGAAAAGAAGCGAGAGGGCAUUUGUAUUUACUGUUUAUAAGGAUAGAGGAAAAGAAACCAUUCUUUUGUAAACCCCUGAAAUGUGAUAAACUACUACU
rnacentral:lncRNA from 1 species